rnacentral:rRNA from 1 species
UCGGGAAUUUUGGACAAUGGGGGCAACCCUGAUCCAGCCAUGCCGCGUGUGUGAAGAAGGCCUUCGGGUUGUAAAGCACUUUCGGCCGGAACGAGAUCGCGCGGGCUAUUACCCCGCGUGGAUGACGGUACCGGAAGAAGAAGCACCGGCUAACUACGUGCCAGCAGCCGCGGUAAUACGUAGGGUGCGAGCGUUAAUCGGAAUUACUGGGCGUAAAGCGUGCGCAGGCGGUUUGAUAAGCCAGAUGUGAAAUCCCCGGGCUUAACCUGGGAACUGCAUUUGGAACUGUCAGACUAGAGUAUAGCAGAGGGGGGUAGAAUUCCACGUGUAGCAGUGAAAUGCGUAGAGAUGUGGAGGAAUACCAAUGGCGAAGGCAGCCCCCUGGGUUAAUACUGACGCUCAUGCACGAAAGCGUGGGAGCAAACAGGAUUAGAUACCCAUGUAGUCCCUGAGCGGGCUGGCAAGGCGCAU